GCCCUAGUAGCUUAAAUGCCCAAAGCAUUGGAUUUGUAACUCAAAGAUUGGAGAUUAGAGUACUCCCUAGCGCA
rnacentral:tRNA from 1 species